UUAGGCCUCCUUUGGUUAGACUUCCAAACCUGCUUUUACUUUUACAAAAGCUAAAAGACAACUAAAAGGAUAAAAAGUCAUAUGUGCUUUUAUCCAAAAGCAGCUUCCACUCCGGUACAAAUAAAAAACAGGUUCCCUGCUUUCACCUGUUUCGGGCAACUGGUUAUGACGAUACCAAUUCGAUUUCCCUUCUGUUUCCCAUCCGUGCGUGACCUUUCCCGUCCGUCCAUGACCCCACCCGACCACCGCCCCAUCCGCCAAGGCCUGCCGCCCGCCGCACCCGGCGCCGCCGUCUCCUGUGCUGCUCCGCAGACCGCAUCUCCCGCGCCGCGUGCAUGCUGCGGAGGAGGUGGAGAUCGCACCGACCAGGAGGUGGAGACCGGGCCACCGUGGAGGAGCUUUGCCGCCUUGCCCCGGAAAAAGGAGCUUCACUCCGGGCAGCCAAGCCAGCUACAGAGGACAUCGUCCCCGUGGCCAACGAGGCCUGCGCUCGUUUGUACACCUCGAAUUUUGAAGAAUGGAGGAAGCUCGUAGCGGUCGCGCAGGACAACAGUAGAGCUUUGCCAUGUUCCUGGCGCCGCUACAUCCUAGACGCGAAUGGCCGCCCCUCCGUCCGCUCCUUUCUACCCACGGGAGUUGAUGUACGCAGCCGGGAGUUGACGUACGCCGCCGGGAGGACGGACGCAGAUCGCGCCGCCGCGGCCACUGGACAAGUCUGGGACUCGGGAGGAAGAUGAAGAAACAGAAACUGACAGGUGGGCUCAACAAUUGCUUUUUGUCCAAGAUGAAGGAGAGUCGUUAGAUUCCACUUGGAGGACAGAGAUAGAUGGGUGUGUUUGGUUCGAGGCGGCCGGUUAUCGCAAGCCUUUUGAUGACUAAUCAAUUUAAUGGAUGAAAAAUGUAAAAAAAUUAUUUUUUUUCCUUUCUAAAAUAGUCAUUUACAUGCGAAUAAUGAACAUAUUAUUUUAUUACGAGCAAUUUUUAUAUAAACAGAACUUUCACACCUUUAUGAACAUUACAAGUAUUUCAAGUACACACUACAGUUUCACAUCUGCUCUAACUAAACGGCUUUCUACUUUUCCCACGACUACUUUCUCACAGCUAUUUUCUACAACUCACAACUCACAACAGUUUUUCCAAAAAUCACAGCCCAACCAAACAGCACCUCACUCUGUUUUCUACAACUCACAGCAGUUUUUCCAAAAAUCACAACCCAACUAAACGCACCAAAAUCACAACCCAACCAAACGCACCUCACUGUAUCCUAUCGUGAUCCAUUGCAAAAACUCGGGGACGACACGAGUACUUCCUUCCAGCAGCUCCCCUAGUCUCACACGACAUGUAGUUCAUGUUUGCGACACUUGUCGUUUCUACAAUUUUUUUAAAAAAAUAUUAAGAGUUGUUUUUCCUCGAAAACAUCGAAAAGUUUUGCACUUUGCUCUUGCUCCUUUCGGAGCAUCAUGGCCGCUACCACUACCAAGGUGCCACCAUCCAACCUCCUGCAUUGCAUAGAAGCCAGAAAAGAGAUCACAGGAAAACCGCACCGUGCCGUGGGAGUCCAGCAGGCAGGGAACAACCAAAAGUUUGAUCAGCGUGAAAGACGACGACGUAUUCACUUCACUAGUUCAACAGAAUCAUAUACAACUUGGCAGGAAUCGACAUGCGUACAGAACAAACCCAACACAUUACCAGCUCGAAUCAGCACCCAGGGCAGACACUAUACAGGUUCUUCUCAUUCAACAACCGGCUA